ACACACCUGCUCUGAAUCAGCCUUGUUAGUUCUUCCCAACCAAUCAGCUGCUUCCUGUUCCCAGUGCUCUCUAAUCACCUCAUUCCCAUCACCUGAGCUUCUCCGCCCGUCUCUCCACCUGCUCUUCAUCCUCUCAUCAGUCUCUAAUCAUCAACCUCUAUCUGCACACCAUGUGACAAUGCAAAUGGGCCGGAGAGAGGAGACAUUAAGUGCAAGCCUUGCGGCAGCCUGUGUAUGUCUGCGAGCAGCUGGAGGAGCUCUAACCACAACAUCUGCGAGGAGCGAGUGGUUACAGCUAAUAACACCGUCCCAACCGACGGCCCAACCACCCUUCAGUUCCCCCUCAGGAAAAGACUGUUAGCUCUGUCAGCACUGUUGCCGUUGUGUGCACCGUUAGCUGCGAGCAUAGACUGUAUAUAAAGAUGGAUGACAUGACAGCUCCCCAAAAGUGAAGCCAAAACAUCUUGAUUGCCCCCUGG